rnacentral:tRNA from 1 species
GCCUGUGUGGCUCAGUGGAUAGAGCACCAGCCUGCGGACUGAGGGUCCUGGAUUCAACUCCAGUCAAGGGCA